UUUCCGUAGGUGAACCUGCGGAAGGAUCAUUACAGAGUUCAUGCCCUAACGGGUAGACCUCCCACCCUUGUGUAUUUAUACUAUGUUGCUUUGGCGGAUUGCUCAGCUUUUGUUGAGCCCCUAUUCUUAGGGAGCCGUUCGCCAGAGGAUACCAAAAUUCUGAUUAUCAUUGUCGUCUGAGUACUAUAUAAUAGUUAAAACUUUCAACAACGGAUCUCUUGGUUCUGGCAUCGAUGAAGAACGCAGC
rnacentral:misc_RNA from 1 species